GGAAGGGGUGUAUUUAUUAGAUUAAAAACCAAUGCCCUUCGGGGCUCUCUGGUGAUUCAUAAUAACUUUUCGAAUCGCACGGCCUUGCGCCGGCAAUGGUUCAUUCAAAUUUCUGCCCUAUCAACUUUCGACGGCUGGGUCUUGGCCAGCCAUGGUGACAACGGGUAACGGAGGGUUAGGGCUCGACCCCGGAGAAGGAGCCUGAGAAACGGCUACUACAUCCAAGGGAGGCAGCAGGCGCGCAAAUUACCCAAUCCCGACUCGGGGAGGUAGUGACAAUAAAUACUGAUACAGGGCUCUUUUGGGUCUUGUGAUUGGAAUGAGUACAAUUUAAAUCCCUUAACGAGGAACGAUUGGAGGGCAAGUCUGGUGCCAGCAGCCGCGGUAAUUCCAGCUCCAAUAGCGUAUAUUAAAGUUGUUGAGGUUAAAAAGCUCGUAGUUGAACCUUGGGCCUAGCCGGCCGGUCCGCCUCACCGCGUGCACUGGCUCGGCUGGGCCUUUCCUGCGGAGAUACCGCAUGCCUGCAGCGUGAAAUA
rnacentral:rRNA from 1 species